rnacentral:misc_RNA from 1 species
GCAAACUUGGUCAUUUAGAGGAAGUAAAAGUCGUAACAAGGUUUCCGUAGGUGAACCUGCGGAAGGAUCAUUACCGUGCCUGCGAGCGUCCGCGGCUCCUUCGGGGGCCUGCUGGGUGCCGCGUCCGGCCCAACCGUGUCUAUCUAUACCUGUUGCUUCGGCGGGCCUGCGGGCUUGCUCGCUGUCGGGAGCCUCUAAGCUCCGGGCUCGUGCCCGUCGAAGACGCUUGGAACUUCUGUUGAAUCUAGCGGUCUGAGUGGGCUUUAUAAUCGUUAAAACUUUCAACAACGGAUCUCUUGGUUCCGGCAUCGAUGAAGAACGCAGC